rnacentral:rRNA from 1 species
UACGUAGGGGGCAAGCGUUGUCCGGAAUCAUUGGGCGUAAAGAGCGUGUAGGCGGCCUGGUAAGUCCGCUGUGAAAGUCCAGGGCUCAACCCUGGAAUGCCGGUGGAAACUGUCAGGCUCGAGUCCGGAAGAGGCGAGUGGAAUUCCUGGUGUAGCGGUGGAAUGCGCAGAUAUCAGGAGGAACACCAAUAGCGAAGGCAGCUCGCUGGGACGGUACUGACGCUAAGGCGCGAAAGCGUGGGGAGCGAACAGG